UGUGGGGCUGACUUCUUGAAGUUGCUGCUGAGUAAAUGACAACUGGAUAUGAUGACUGAUUACCUGAGAAAUAAUUGAUGAAAUCUCAAGAAAAUUCCUCUAGAUAGUCAAGUUCUGAUCCAGCUGUGUCAGCUCAAAGCAGCAGCUUU
rnacentral:miRNA from 1 species